rnacentral:rRNA from 1 species
CCUACGGGCGACAGCAGUGAGGAAUAUUGGUCAAUGGGCGCGAGCCUGAACCAGCCAAGCAGCGUGAAGGAUGACUGCCCUACGGGUUGUAAACUUCUUUUAUAAAGGAAUAAAGUGAGGCACGUGUGCCGUUUUGUAUGUACCUUACGAAUAAGGAUCGGCUAACUCCGUGCCAGCAGCCGCGGUAAUACGGAGGUUCCGAGCGUUAUCCGGAUUUAUUGGGUUUAAAGGGAGCGUAGAUGGGUUGUUAAGUCAGUUGUGAAAGUUUGCGGCUCAACCGUACAAUUGCAUUUGAUACUGGCGGCCUUGAGUACAGUUGAGGUAGGCGGAUUUCGUGGUGUAGCGGUGCACUGCUUAGAUCUCACGAAGAACUCCGAUUGCGAAGGCAGCUUACUAGACUGCCACUGACAUUGAUGCUCGAAAGUGUGGGUAUCAAACAGGAUUAGAUACCCCAGUAGUC